rnacentral:rRNA from 1 species
GGGUGCUCGAGUGACGAACGGGUGAGUAACACGUGAGUAACCUGCCCUUGACUUUGGGAUAACUUCAGGAAACUGGGGCUAAUACCGGAUAGGAGCUCCUGCUGCAUGGUGGGGGUUGGAAAGUUUCGGCGGUUGGGGAUGGACUCGCGGCUUAUCAGCUUGUUGGUGGGGUAGUGGCUUACCAAGGCUUUGACGGGUAGCCGGCCUGAGAGGGUGACCGGCCACAUUGGGACUGAGAUACGGCCCAG